rnacentral:tRNA from 1 species
UCCCUGGUGGCUUAGACGGUAAAGUGUCUGUCUACAGUGCGGGAAGACCCGGGUUCAAUCCCUGGGUUGGGAA